CGCAUCUGUGCAUGCAGCAUAUCAAUAAGCGGAGGAAAAGUCAAUACCUACGCUUAGGAUGUUGACACACGCGCGUGCUCGACUCUAUACAUGACUCUGUGCAUAUCAAUAAGCGGAGGAAAAGAAACUAACAAGGAUUCCCUUAGUAACGGCGAGUGAAGCGGGAAGAGCUCAAAUUUGAAAUCUUCAAGGUUUUACCUUGACGAAUUGUAGUUUAAAGAAGUGUUUUCUGCUGAAGUUUUGGUAAAAGUUCUUUGGAAUAGGACAUCAUAGAGGGUGAGAAUCCCGUAUUUGACCAUUAUUUUCAGCUUUGUGAUACACUUUCAAAGAGUCGGAUUGUUUGGGAAUGCAGUCCAAAAUGGGUGGUAAAUUUCAUCUAAAGCUAAAUAUUGGCGAGAGACCGAUAGCGAACAAGUACCGUGAGGGAAAGAUGAAAAGAACUUUGAAAAGAGAGUUAAACAGUACGUGAAAUUGUCAAAAGGGAAGCGUUUGACACCAGUGUUGUUUUCUCGAAAAUCAAUUAAAAAUGGCUCGAUUUUGUAUUGCUGAGACCUUAAAAGCUCACUGUACAUUUUUCGUGUCUUUUUUAAUGCACUUUUCGUUUAACAAGUCAACAUCAGUUUCUUUUGUUGUAAAAGGGUCAUUGGAAGGUGGCUUUCUUUUCGGAGAAAGUGUUUAUAGCCUUUGGCCUCUGCAAUCGGAAGAGACUGAGGUCUGCAGCGUAGACUCUUCGGGGUUAGAUACAUUUGUGCUAAGUUAUAGCUUUUUAUAGACAACUUGUUGACUAUAAUUAGUCUUGUAGCUUACUCGCUUAUGCUAUUUUACCUACGCUUAGGAUGUUGAGUAGCGACAUACGCAC
rnacentral:rRNA from 1 species